UGGGGAAUUUUGGACAAUGGGGGCAACCCUGAUCCAGCCAUUCCGCGUGAGUGAAGAAGGCCUUCGGGUUGUAAAGCUCUUUCAGCAGGAACGAAACGGUCGGCUUUAAUAAAGUCGGCUAAUGACGGUACCUGCAGAAGAAGCACCGGCUAACUACGUGCCAGCAGCCGCGGUAAUACGUAGGGUGCGAGCGUUAAUCGGAAUUACUGGGCGUAAAGCGUGCGCAGGCGGCGACAUAAGACAGAUGUGAAAUCCCCGGGCUCAACCUGGGAACUGCGUUUGUGACUGUGUUGCUAGAGUGUAGCAGAGGGGGGUGGAAUUCCACGUGUAGCAGUGAAAUGCGUAGAGAUGUGGAGGAACACCGAUGGCGAAGGCAGCCCCCUGGGUUAACACUGACGCUCAUGUACGAAAGCGUGGGGAGCAAACAGGAUUAGAUACCCCCGUAGUCCCUGAGCGGGCUGGCAAGGCGCAU
rnacentral:rRNA from 1 species